rnacentral:rRNA from 1 species
ACGCACGCUGGCGGCGUGCUUCACACCUGCAAGUCGCACGGGCCCGCUCUCUUUUUUGGGGGUGGGUUGAGUGGCGAACGGGUGAGUAUCACGUGAGUAACCUGCCCCCUGCUCCUGGAUAACUGCUUGAAAGGGCGGCUAAUACGGGGUGUGCCGGCUGGUCCGCAUGGGCCUGGUCGGGAUAGUUUCAUCUUCGGGUGUUUCGGUGGGGGAUGGGCUCGCGGCCUAUCAGCUUGUUGGUGGGGUGAUGGCCCACCAAGGCGGUGACGGGUAGCCGGCCUGAGAGGGUGGGCGGCCACACUGGGACUGAGACACGGCCCAGACUCCUGCGGGAGGCAGCAGUGGGGGGUAUUGCACAAUGGGCGGAAGCCUGAUGCAGCGACGUCGCGUGAGGGAUGGAGGCCUUCGGGUUGUGAACCUCUUUCUCCGGUGGUGAAGGCCCUGUCCGUUGCGGCGGGGUUGACGGUAGCCGGGGAUGAAGCGCCGGCUAACUACGUG